rnacentral:rRNA from 1 species
UUUAGAGAUAGAGGCGUGCUCGAAAGAGAGCCGUAACACAGGUGCUGCAUGGCUGUCGUCAGCUCGUGUCGUGAGAUGUUGGGUUAAGUCCCGCAACGAGCGCAACCCUUGUCAUUAGUUGCUACAUUCAGUUGGGCACUCUAAUGAGACUGCCGGUGACAAGCCGGAGGAAGGUGGGGAUGACGUCAAGUCCUCAUGGCCCUUAUAGGUGGGGCUACACACGUCAUACAAUGGCUGGUACAAAGGGUUGCCAACCCGCGAGGGGGAGCUAAUCCCAUAAAGCCAGUCGUAGUCCGGAUCGUAGUCUGCAACUCGACUACGUGAAGUCGGAAUCGCUAGUAAUCGUGGAUCAGAAUGUCACGGUGAAUACGUUCCCGGGUCUU